rnacentral:lncRNA from 1 species
GUUGGUCGAAUUUUUUUCUCGUGUAGCCAUAGUAAUCCAAAAUUCAAUCAAUGGACGCACCCAGGAUAAUAAUAACUGUAAUCUGGUUUUUCGUGUUUUCGUAAAACUGUUGGGAAUCGAGAAAAAUAUAAUAAAGUAUAGUAUUUUUUUAUAGGUAUCACCGGGCGAAAAAUCCGCAUCCAUUUUAGAACUGCGUGAAAAAAUCUGAACAUUUCAUUUAUUAGAAAAAAUAACAGGUACCAAAUGCCAAUCACAGCUAUUUCUAUAAUUAUUAUUAUUUCAGUAGAAAAAAAAAAUCGUUUGAUUUUAUGCAUAAAAACAAUAGGUAAUUUGGUUAACGGAAUUAUUAUCCGACGCAUAGCAUAGGUACGUGUUAUGUACUAAAUGCAUUUAUAACAAUAAUUGUGAUAAUUAUAAACACCCAUAAAGUACAAGGUACGAUUAUCGAGAUAAUUAAUUAACCCACAACUCACUAUACGUAUACACCACACUAUGUAGGUAGGUACCUAAUUUUAAUUUUAAUCUUACUACCUACAGGUUAGGUUGGGUUACCUAUAUUUAUGCGUAGGUAAAAAGUUUACAACCGUACGAUAUACGGACAUAAUUAUUUUUGAACUUGACAAAUUAUACCCGUCCGUAUUAUGACGUUGGUACCUAUGUGAAAUCUAAUGUUUAUUAUUAUUAUUAUUUCGAUUGAGUUUUUAGAUUAUGAGCGGGGCGUAUUGGUUUCACUAUGGUGCGUUUCUAUUUUAUUAUUUGUUCUGUUUAUGAACAACUUUUUACCAGAAUUCGCGUUCCAAUCGUCCAAAACGUCCACUUCUGGGGCCGCGGUUUCAAAUGGUCACCAUGUGCAGUCGGUGCUCCGAGGAGGCCAUUUUUUGCAUUAAUCAGGAAAAACGAUCGAAUUUAUGCAAUACCUAGGGUACCCGGUUUCUGUUUAGUUAUUUUUUUUGUUUCAUUUAAAAAUAAUUAUAAAAAUUUAACCGAAUCCGUAUUAUGUUUCCAUAUCAGUCAUUUCUAAACACGGUCAAAUUUCCGCAUUAAUUCAACGUGCUGAUUGAUUUGAAUAUUAUUAUAGUAAAUACAGGAAUAAAAAUUAAAUAAUUGAACGAAUGCGUCGGCUGGAGUGUUACGAUAAGUGUAUAAUACGACCGGUUUCGAAUUAUAUAUUCACCAACACGUAUACCAUAGUCAAAAUGUAAAACGCGACUGAAUAUAAAAAAUUAGACGAAGGAAUAUAUAGAAAAAAAUUAUACAAAUUGAUCGGUUUUACAUGGAAAUAAUUUAUUUUAAUAAGAGAGAUUAUUCAAAAUUAGUUAUUAAUAGACAUAGAUAGGUAUGUUCGAGAAAUAUAAAUUAUUUGAUUAUUAUUUACCAUCUAAAAUGUAUUGAUAUAAGACAUUACUUUUAAAAUCGGUUUGCACAUUUGAAUUAUUAUUAAAAUUAGUUUUCUUUAUUUCAUUGUAUACGCGACAAAAUAGAUUUUGUCAUGAUUGUAUAUAUUAUGUAGUUACUCUAAAAUUAAAUUAAUGUGUAAUGUUACUUUGGGCGCCUAUUUAAUAUCUCUACGUCUGUAUUAAUAUCAAAGCUUAUUAUUAGAUAUAUUAAUGGUUAUUUUCCAAAACAUGUUUAGCGAAAUGUGUACAUUAUAUCUUAUUUUAAAAUUUUUAUUUGUCUUACCCGUGUAAAAUUUAUUACAGUUACAUUUAAGUUUAACCAGCAUUUUCAAAAGAAGGAGGAGCAUUUGUGAAUUUUUUAGUUCUAUUGUUUACAUGUUUGAUUAAAUUAUUAUUAGUCUUAAAGCGAUUUGUAUUAUUGUUUAGAAUUUCAGCGAAUUCGUUACACAUAUUAUUUGGAUAAUUCAUGUUACAAUAGUUAACUACAUUAUCUGG